rnacentral:lncRNA from 1 species
AGCGCACAAACCUGGCCGAGCAGAGAGCGUGGGCUUGAUUCAGAUGGGUGAGCUUUAGGCUUUAGAUGCUUCGAAUUUCCAGGGCUUGAUAGCACGGCGUGCUUGGCUGCUCUGCAGGGCACUGCUGGCCCUGCGAGGAAGGAGGGCAGGGCUGAGCCGAUGCUGGCAGAGCACCUCUGCAAGCGGGAAUGCAGGCGAUUCCAGCAGCCCCUCCUGAAAACUUGCUUUGCUCCUUUAUUUUUUCACUUCAAAGCCAAGCGUGAGAGCUCCCUCUGCUGCCAUAAGGGUUUAGACCAAGGGUGAAUGCGUUGGGUGAGACUGAACGGGCUCCAAAGCGGGGUGCUGCUCCAGAUGUCUGCCGGAGCUGCCUUAAACACAAGGUCAAGGGUUUUACCCAGGGAAUCGCUGGGCAGAUGCUAAUUAAAGGGUGGUUUAACGAUACCCCUGGGCUGCCUGGUCCUCCAGCACCCUGCACCCCACUGCAAACAGAGAGGACCCACGCUAUGCUCUCGUUCUGCUGAGGCUGCUCUCGCAGCAGCUGGGUGCUGUGGGAUUCUGCUGCCCCGCUUGUAGCAACCUGGCGUGGCUGGCGGUGCCAAAGGCACCACGUCCCACACGCAGCGCCAAGAUCCCCCCAGAUCUUUUUAAAACCAGAAUACUCGCAGCCUGGGGCCGGACGACAAGUGUGGGGGUUCUGCAGGUGAAGAGGAGCUGCCCUUGAAGUCACACAGCUGGCAGAAAAGGAAACGGUGAGCAACAGCCUCACAGCUCGAGCUGGAAACACAACAGCAGACAGAGCAAAGAGAGCGUCCUGCGGCAGAAGAGCUGUGACUCAUUUACUCCAGAGGUUGCUAUGGAGUUGUUUACACGUUUCUUUGUGAUUUAAAAAAAAAAAAAAAAAGAAAGAAAGAAAAUUCUAAAGGACUCGCCCAAAAUGAACUGCGUAGAAAGAGGUCUGAGCGAGCGGAGAGCACAAAUAGCAAUAACUCACAGGACCAGGCAGGUUUCCUGGAGGAGCACAGCGGGUUCAGGUGUGAGCCCACUGAGCCACAGAGCCCUGACAAAUGCUGCCCACCCUGCCCCAGCCAGGGGGUGAUGCCAGGAACUCCUGGGACAAGUUCCUCACUGUUGAACACAAAGAUGCAGACACAACCUUUGAGAUCCUGUCCCGCUGACUGCCAGACUUACAAGCAGGUAAGCAUCAGCAUCAUUGAGCAUGGCCAGAACCUGACUAGCUGCUGCUCAGGGCGGUCCUGGGUGUGAGGGUACGGAGGAACUGGAACUGCAUCCAACCACCAGUUUGCUUUCGGCACGCAAAGGCAGGCAACAAAGGGCCUGUGCCCCCUGUGUGUAUAAAAACACUGCUAUCAGGAGACCAGAAAUAGCAUCUCCUUG